rnacentral:lncRNA from 1 species
UGGAUAUCAUAGUAGUAUUUGAAGCUGCAAAAGGUUUGUUUGUUUCUUUGGAAUUUAGGGUUUUCUAUAGAUUGAUUGAUUGUAAUGUGGAUAAUGUUGAUUUAAUAUCAUUUUCAAUAUCUUAGUGAUAUCUAAUUUCUUUGUUUGCUUUAAUUACGCGGAUGGAUUGGUAAUCGAGUUGGCUUUGAACACAUGUUCUUCUAUCAUGAAACCUGAUAAACUUGAGUCCCAAUAAAAUUUUAGGUCUAAUUGCGCAGUCUAGGAAAAAAAAUAAUUUCUAGUCGAUGUUUCUUGUUUGAUUAUUUUGCUAUUUUCGAUCCAAUUAAUAUGUGACAUAAUUAAUACAAUGUCACUAUGUUAGUGAUCCUGAAAUAUUAUGUACAUCUCUGCAUUUUUUGCAUAAAGUCAACAUAAGCUGCAUAUCACAUGUUUAGCGAUACAAAUCCCAUUAUGUGUUCAAACUUCACCAAAAGGUUUAAGUACUUUUCUUUAAUACUAUAUAUAAAUUGUUCAAUAUUCAAGUAGGCAGUAGCAAGCAAAUUUCUAUCUUGGUGUUUCUGUCAUGGUUCUUUUGAUCAGUAAUCAAAUGACCAUGAAUAGAGAGAGAGAGAGUCGAGCAACUGAGCAAAUGCUUGAAUGUAUUAUGUAACAAAUUAUGCAUUAGCUAUUUUAUAGCAACAAUAUCAUAUUUGUAUAUAAGGUUUGUAUUAAUAACAGGAAUUUGUCGAAAGAAAGAAGAAUGAUAUUCAAGGAAAGGGAACCACCACAAUCCAUUGGUACAGAAUAGGGCCGUUGACAGAUCAUCGACUUUUACAUGUCUCUUUCCUAUUGAAGUGUUAUGGUAAAUUCUACUGAUAAUCUUUUUGAUACGUGUUUUUUUUUUUUUUUUUUUCCAUAAACUUUGUCAUUAGCUACACAUCAUUGAUAUUAGCCUAUUUUUAGUCACUCUCCCUCUCUCUUUUUAGUUUUACCUUAAGAAAUCAUAACUCUGGGAUUUCUUAGCAAUUCUAUAAAUGUCCAUUCUAGUACAGUUGAGAGCAUUCCCAAUGGUAGGUUUUAGCACACUUUUAGUAAACUUUUAGUGAAAACACUUGCCAAUGGUAGCUUUUAACACACUUUUCAAGUAAAACACUUUUAACUCCUUGGCAAAUUUGCCAAGGAGUUAAAAGUGCCACAUAGGAUCACUUAAUUAAUUUAAAAUUAAAUUCUAUCAUACUAUACACUAUAUUUUUGGGGAAAAGUGAAACUUAAACCUAUUAAAACUUAUUUUAAAAUCAACUAUUGGCAACUCUAAAAGUAUAAAACACUUUUAACAUCAAUUAUAUGCUAAAACCUUCUCCUUCUCUCCUACGUGGCACCCCUAAAACCCUUUUACCAUUGGGAAUGCUCUGAGGAAGUAUCAAUCUCUGCAAUAAAAAUAAGUUGAAAAAUCCAAGAGCGAAUCGGGUAUACAGUAGACGCUAUUGAAGGUUUGAAAGUUGACAGUUAGAUUCACUCAGUAAAACACGAUGAACUGAUUAAAUCUCCUUGUUUAUACUUACAGCUUUGAUACUAUCCAUUGUGAUUGGAAAUUCAAGUUCCCCACCCCACCCUCUUCAAUUCUUAGAAGCACAUCCACUUCAACUUCACCCUCAGUAUUCCCAAUUUUCAUCCUAUUUUUUUAUGCUCUAUAAUGAUAUCUUUGAUAUAUAUGGUUGAGUGUGGAAAGAAGAAUUGCCUGUGAUAUACACAUACAUACAACAGAGCUCAUCUCUUAGCAUUAAUUGAAUUCCUUAUUUGAGAUAUGAACACUCAAUCACUAUUAUAAGUCUUAGACAUGUCAACUAUACAUAUAUAUAAAUUGAACCUGUCAUUGUAGCAUGUUGUUAUCUUAUUCAAUUAUUUGGAGGAAAAUGUGGCCAAGUGUUGACACUAAACUAGGAGCUUAUCUUCAGUCUAAUAUUAAAAGAAAGAAUGCUACCUACCACACUCCAGCUAAAAUUCCUUUAAUCUGGUUGGUGGUCUUCAAUCUUAAUUUUCUGUCAUGUAGUUUCUUAUGGUAGUUAUAGAACUUAGAACUAGUCAUCAGUUGAUCAAAGCUGUCCCCAUCAAACAACCUUCUUACACUGAUAGAUGGGUUUGAUGUCUUUCACAAGGACAAGUUUUUUUAAUUUUUGCACCCUCAUCUCUAUGAAUGUUUACUGCCCUACAUAAUGCAAACAUUAUGUAAGGCAGGCAGCUCGAAUCACACUAAUAAAAUAUGUACAUGCUCUGCAUUUUGUUGCUUAAAAUCGAAUAUAGAGUCUGCAUAUCACUUUUUUUUCUUUUCUCAGUAUAGUAAAUUGUUCUUUUGACCUAUAUCCAACGACCAUGAACAAUGAAAGAGAGGAGAGCCAAUGCCUUAAUUGUAUCUUGUAAAAACUAUGCUUUAGUUACUUGACAGUGUCAAUAUCGUAUUUGUAUUUAAUGUUUUUAUCAAUGACAGGAUAUUAUAGAAAAAACGAACCAGAUUACAUGUUCAGACCUGCUCUGCUACUCCACAAUCCAUUAUUCAGGAUAGCGUCAUCAUUGACUCGUCAUCUACAUGUAUCACCUGCGUUUUAUUACAACAGUCUCUUUCCUAUCAAAGUGUUACGGUAAAUACUACUGAUAAUCUUGAAAUACAUGUUUAUUUUCGUAAACUUUGCCGUUAGCUAUGAAAUUCGUAGUAAAGUAAUGCAUAUCAUUGAUAAACCUCUUUGAAAUAAAAAAAUAAAAGUAGUUUAGAUGUGUUGAUUUCAUAAGAUUGCGCUUAGUAAAAUCUACUGUACUUUCUUUACAAUUGUGAGUAUUCUACUGUACUGCACAAUUUCUUUGCACUGACACAGAUUCUACACUGGAUAUUAAUAACUGUUGCUGCAAAUACUGAUUGAUACAUAGUGUCAGCUAACAACAACAAGAAUAAUAGUUCCAAGUUCAAACAUGAUAUUAAACUCCAACCAUAUUGCUAUAACAAUUUAUAUCACCGGACUCACCAUACCAUAAAACAGGGAAAAUCUGAAAUAUUUAGUUACAGACUUACAGUGGCUUAUUAUGGAUUGUAAGUCGUAGGAAUUACAUACAAGUCAUUUUUACGCCUGACUACCAUGCUGAAUUCCUCGGUCAUGUCAAGUUCUUCUGGCUUCACCCCAUUUGCAAGUUUCCAAUCGAAGUGGUAUAGUAAUAAAGCAAGUGGAAGCUCAACAUUGGCAAUUCCAAACAGUAUUCCUGGACAUAUCCUCCUACCAGCCCCAAAUGGGAUGUAUUUGAAGUUAGUUCCCUUAUAAUCAAUGGAUAGAUCUUGAAACCUCUCUGGCUCAAAGCUCUCAGGAUUUUUCCAGUUUUCUGGAUCUCUUCCCAUUGCCCAUGCAUUGACCAGGACUUUACUUCCCUUUGGUACCUCAUACCCUUCCAAUUCACAUCUUUCUCUACAUUGCCUUGGUAGAAGCAUUGGAAUAGAUGGGUGCAGUCUUAGUGUUUCUUUGAUAACUAAUCUCAAGUAGUUUAAGUCGCUCAUGUCAGCUGGAUCGAUCUUCUUUUUUCCAUUAAAUAUCCGCCUCACCUCACCUUGUGCUUUUUCCAUAACUCUUGGGUUUCGUAAUAGUUCUGAAAAUGCCCACUCUAUUGUCGUUGCUGAAGUAUCAGACCCUGCACUAAACAUGUCCUGGACAAAAAUGAGUUUAAAAGUUAACACAGAGAGACAGAUGUAUGUAGUAUAUUCUACUGCAGCUUGAUAAUUUAUUCACUUUAUGAAACAUGAUGAACAAACAGAAUUCAGCUCAUUCAAAUACUUACCAAAGUAACUGCUUUAACAUUAUCCAGUGUGAUCGGGAAUUCGAGUUCUCCACCCUCUUGAAUUCUUAGAAGCACAUCCACUAGAUCCUCUUCAACUUGACCAUUGAUUGCCAUCCUAUUCUCUUUAUGUUCUCUUAUGAUGUCGCUGAGUAUCUUGUCGAUUUUUUUAUGUAUCUUCUCUAUUUUUGGCCUGGCUCCACUGAUCACUUCCAGGAAUUUUAGUGAUGGAAAAAAAUCAGCGAUGGUAAAACCUGCUGCCAAUCUUAUUACUUCCUUCAUUACUGAAAUGAAUAGUUCUUUAUCUUUGCAUGUCUUGCCAAAGGCUGCCCUUGCUGUUAUAUCAUUUACUAGCAUAAAGAUCCUCUCACUGAGAUUCAACUGUGAUCCAGCCAACGAAGAAACUCUUCCAAUGAGACUUGAUACCUCUUCUUCCCUUACCGACCAGAAUGACUGGACUCUUUUUGCACUUAGGAGUUCUAAGACACAGAUCUUUCUUAAUUGCCUCCAGUAAUCACCAUAGGGAGCCAUGACAACAUCUUUACACUCAUAAGACAUAACUAUUGAGGCAAGGUUUAGAGGUCUAUCUGCAAAAUUGAGGUCAUGUGUCUUCAUCAUCUGUUGAGCCACACCAGAUGAGGAAAUAACAACAGCUGGAAUCUGCCCAAGCUUAAGGUACAUAAUAGGUCCAUGUUUCUUGGCUAAAUCCUUGAGUAAGUGAUGAGGUAGGCCUCCUAUCAAAUGGUGCAAGUGUCCAAUAACUGGUAGCUUAGAUGGCCCUGGUGGUAAUGGUGCACUUGGAUGUUUGCUUUUGGAUUUCUUGAAUUGCUUAACAAGCAUGAACAAGAAGAGGAGAAAAGUGAAGAUGAAGGGGAAGGUGGUGAGUUGCUGCAGAUCCAUUGUUAAAAUGUUUGACAGGGUCCUUUAGUUCUUCCCUUAAAAUGAGUACAUAUAACUAUAUAAGAAGUCAAGUCAUUUUAUGUAAUAAUAAUUAGCUCUUACUUUAAAUUUAUUAGUUAGUCAAUUAUGGUGUCUAACCCUGUUUGACACAACAAAAGUUUCCUACUCUGGUUUGUAUACUAUCUACGGCAUUGAUUUAAGUUCUCAUUUCUUGAGAUGAUGGUCUUGAUUUAUAAACAUCAUCAUAUCCAAAGUUUGGUUCCAACUUAACUUCAUAUUUUCAUAACAUUAUGGUUUUACUGUCGGUCUUGGAGAGGUAAUUGUUAGAGCAUACUAUUGGAUAGGAUGUGAACAUGUAUUGUGAAAAUAGAAUUGGUAGCAAACAGUGCUUAAUUUCAUCACCUAGCGACGACGUCGACCCAUGUUUAAUUUUUUAUGGUGAGUUCCGGCUUAAAGUAAAUUACAGUAUUUGUAAAAUGUAAUCAGUUUAUACAUGGUUGAGUGUGGGAAGAAGAAUUCUCUUCGAUAUAAACAUACUUAUAAUAUAUAAUGACUUUCACUAAUUUGCAAUCAACAGCUCAUUUCUUAGCAUUAAAUUCCUUAUUUGAGAUAUGAACACUCAUUCAGUCACUAUUAUAAAUCUUUCAUAUGUAUUGUUUGUUUAUCUUAUUCAAUUAUUUGGAAGAAAAUGCCCAAAGUGUUGAGAGUUGAGACUAAACGUCUAAACUAGAAGCCUAUCUUCAGUCCAACAGAAUAUAAAUGUAUAUAUAAGAAAGAAUGCUACCACACUCCAGCUAGAAUUUCUUUUCUGUGGUAGGUGGUUUUCAUUUUUUUCUGUAAUUUAGUUUCCUAUUGUUGUUAGAACUUAGAACUAGUCAGUUGAUUUGAGAUUGAAAGGUAAUAAACUAUAGUAUAGUCUUAGUACCAAAUUGACAGAUGAUCUCACCUCUACUGAGACUGAGAUUCCAUAGCAGAUCUCCAGCUGAUAUAUUAGUUCAGUUUGAUUAAUAUAUGCAAUGCAAACUUAGAGGUGAUUGACUAAGAAGCUGGAAGUAGGUAUUGACCAAAUUUACAUUAUAUCUGACUAAACACAAGCAUUACAAGAAAUGUUGUAUUAUUUCUUUAGUUGGGUUGGUGGGAAAAUGUUAUGCAUGUAAGAAUAUUAAAACUCACAUUGCUUAUAAUACAAAAAUACAAAAUAGCUCUGUUUACAUUGACUUUGGUUAUAUUAAUUCUACUAGGAUUAUAUUAACUAUUGCUCUGAAUUAUUCUACAGGUAAUUAGUUGACAUUAGCUCUAUGGAUUAGUGAGAACAUGGAGCUUAAUGAUCUCAGUUAGUCCAGUUCAUUAAAAAUCAGAUUCUGAUUCCUUAUAUGAUAGAAAGAACAAUGGAAUGCAAAGACUAGUCUGAAUAUGAUCGAUCUUCUCAUAAGCUAGUAUUAUUGAGAGAAAAUACGUAUAGGGGGGGUCAAUAACUUGAUUAAUAUUAUUUGAUGCGACAAUUUGUGUACAUGUAAAAUUUAGUAGACAUGAAGGAAAAAUACGUCUGCGGGUUCAGAACUUGUGAAAGUCUCAAAAAAUCUACUGCUUCUACUUUUGAUGAAUGUUGUAAUGAAACUUUUUGAUAUUUUC